CAAUAGCGUAUAUUAAAGUUGUUGCGGUUAAAAAGCUCGUAGUUGGAUUUCUGCUGAGAACGACCGGUCCGCCCUUUGGGUGUGUAUCUGGCUCUUUCUUGGCAUCUUCUUGGUGAACGUUGCUGCACUUGACUGUGUGGAGCGCUACCCAGGACUUUUACUUUGAGGAAAUUAGAGUGUUUCAAGCAGGCAUACGCCUUGAAUACAUUAGCAUGGAAUAAUAAGAUAGGACCUCGGUUCUAUUUUGUUGGUUUCUGGAGCUGAGGUGAGAAUUAAUGGGGAUUGUUGGGGGCAUCCGAAUUUAGCCGUCAGAGGUGAAAUUCUUGGAUCGGCUAAAGACGGACAACUGCGAAAGCGUUUGCCCAGGAUGUUUUCAUUGA
rnacentral:rRNA from 1 species